UACGUAGGGGGCUAGCGUUGUCCGGAAUCAUUGGGCGUAAAGAGCGUGUAGGCGGCCCGGUAAGUCCGCUGUGAAAGUCGGGGGCUCAACCCUCGAAAGCCGGUGGAUACUGUCGGGCUAGAGUGCGGAAGAGGCGAGUGGAAUUCCAGGUGUAGCGGUGAAAUGCGUAGAUAUCUGGAGGAACACCGGUGGCGAAGGCGGCAUCCUGGACCGGCAUUGACGCUAAAGCGCGAAAGCCAGGGGAGCAAACGGG
rnacentral:rRNA from 1 species